rnacentral:ncRNA from 2 species
CUGUGCCCAACGGGGUGUUGCUCAAUACAAUGCAACACCUGCACAGCCAGUUUUUCCGCUGAGAGUACACCCGUCGAACCUGAUCCGGUCAAUACCGGCGGAGGGAUUUGAGUACUGCGUUGUU